rnacentral:rRNA from 1 species
CUUUAUGGUGGCGACCGGCGGACGGGUGCGUAACGCGUAUGCAACCUGCCUGACACAGGGGGAUAAUCCGAAGAAAUUUGGUCUAAUACCCCAUAAUAUUCGGAGAGGCAUCUCUCCGGGUUGAAAACUCCGGUGGUUAUAGAUGGACAUGCGUUGUAUUAGCUAGUUGGUGAGGUAACGGCUCACCAAGGCAACGAUACAUAGGGGGACUGAGAGGUUAACCCCCCACACUGGUACUGAGACACGGACCAGACUCCUACGGGAGGCAGCAUG